UACAGAGGGUGCUAGCGUUAAUCGGAUUUACUGGGCGUAAAGCGUGUGUAGGCGGUUCGUUAAGUCGGGUGUGAAAUCCCUGGGCUCAACCCGGGAAUUGCAUUCGAUACUGGCGAGCUAGAGUACGGUAGAGGGCGGCGGAAUUCCGGGUGUAGCGGUGAAAUGCGUAGAUAUCGUAAGGAAGACCAGUGGCGAAGGCGAGUCUCUGGACAGUUACUGACGCUGAGGCACGAAGGUCAGGGGAGCAAACGGG
rnacentral:rRNA from 1 species